AUACGUAGGGGGCGAGCGUUGUCCGGAAUGAUUGGGCGUAAAGGGCGCGUAGGCGGCCCGGUAAGUCUGGAGUGAAAGUCCUGUUUUUAAGAUGGGAAUUGCUUUGGAUACUGUCGGGCUUGAGUGCAGGAGAGGUAAGUGGAAUUCCCAGUGUAGCGGUGAAAUGCGUAGAGAUUGGGAGGAACACCAGUGGCGAAGGCGACUUACUGGACUGUAACUGACGCUGAGGCGCGAAAGUGUGGGGAGCAAACAGGAUUAGAUACCCUGGUAGUCCACGCCGUAAACGAUGAGUGCUAAGUGUUGGAGGGUUUCCGCCCUUCAGUGCUGCAGCUAACGCAUUAAGCACUCCGCCUGGGGAGUACGGCCGCAAGGUUGAAACUCAAAGGAAUUGACGGGG
rnacentral:rRNA from 1 species